GUAGGGUGGCAAGCGUUGUCCGGAAUUAUUGGGCGUAAAGCGCGCGCAGGCGGUCCUUUAAGUCUGAUGUGAAAGCCCACGGCUCAACCGUGGAGGGUCAUUGGAAACUGGGGGACUUGAGUACGGAAGAGGAAAGCGGAAUUCCAAGUGUAGCGGUGAAAUGCGUAGAGAUUUGGAGGAACACCAGUGGCGAAGGCGGCUUUCUGGUCUGUAACUGACGCUGAGGCGCGAAAGCGUGGGGAGCAAACAGGAUUAGAUACCCUGGUAGUCCACGCCGUAAACGAUGAGUGCUAAGUGUUAGGGGGUUUCCGCCCCUUAGUGCUGCAGCUAACGCAUUAAGCACUCCGCCUGGGGAGUACGGCCGCAAGGCUG
rnacentral:rRNA from 1 species